AAGGGAGACCUAAUUCAGGUAGGAGACGAAAAAAAGUAGUCCCUACCAAGAAUCAAUCCCAAAAGGUCGGAGCGAGGCAAAAUUGGCUUUCAAACUAGGUUCUGGGUUCACACAAGACCUGAAUCAGGAACAAGGGCUAUUAGCUCAGGUGGUUAGAGCGCACCCCUGAUAAGGGUGAGGUCCCUGGUUCGAGUCCAGGAUGGCCCACCUGCACAGGUGGAAGAAAGAAAAGAAGCUCCGAAUCAGCACCUUAUCUUACUUAUAUAGUAAGAGAGAAUGCUGGCUCUGAGUACAGAGUCCAGAGGAACCUUGAAAACUGCAUAGAGCUAGGUGAAAAAGCCAGAAAAGAAGACCGCAAGGUCAAGCUAAUAAGGGCUAACGGUGGAUACCUAGGCAC
rnacentral:tRNA from 1 species